GCGGGGGUUGCCAAGCCAGGUCAAAGGCGCAGGGUUGAGGGCCCUGUCUCGUAGGAGUUCGCGAGUUCGAAUCUCGUCCCCCGCA
rfam:Candidatus Syntrophoarchaeum caldarius isolate BOX2 BOX2_8_reassembly_contig04, whole genome shotgun sequence.